CCAAAACUUUGCACUGUGAACUUGCUUGCCACUUACUGUGACUGUUGUCAUAGCCUACUGCUGCUGCUGAAAUUGGAAAUACUGGUAAAGGGGCAUUAUGUGCAAAAGCGGCCUAACGACACCCACGGGCAAUGGUGACCGUUCGUUCCUACAGUAUAGUCGUGCAUCAUACUUCCAUCAGUUGAGAAAGCCCGUACAAAUUCACAAGGGGCUUCACGCGCGAGUCAUAGUCAGUCUUCUCUUCAUCAGAUGAAUCAUCGUUGGACCCACUCGUCGGCUCCCCGCGCUUAAGCCACCCAACAGAGAGAGAAGGAGAGAGAGAGACAGAAAGAGAGAGAGAGAGAAAGAGAGAGAAGAGAGAUAGAUAGAGAAGACAGAGGUAGUACGAGAGGAUUAAAGAUUUCUCAUCACCAUGGCAAC